rnacentral:rRNA from 1 species
AGAGUUUGAUCCUGGCUCAGAAUGAACGUUGGCGGCGUGGAUUAGGCAUGCAAGUCGGACGCUCCGUAAGGGGCGUGGCGUAAGGGUGAGUAAGGCGACGGUAACCAACCUCGGGGUCGGGUAUAGCCGCGGGAAACCGCGGGUAAUCCCCGGUAACGCCGCGGUGCCGGCAUCGGCACUCGGCCAGAGGUGUGAUUCCGCCCCGAGACGGGCCGUCGUGGUAUUAGCUGGUUGGCGGGGUGACGGCCCACCAAGGCUGCGAUGCCUACCGGGCGUGCGAGCGUGGCCCGGCACACUGGGACUGAGACACUGCCCAGACUCCUACGGGAGGCUGCAGUCGAGAAUCUUCGGCAAUGGGCGCAAGCCUGACCGAGCGACGCCGCGUGGAGGACGAAGGCCUUCGGGUUGUAAACUCCUGUCGAGGGGGAGGAAAAGGCGGUGCAGAGCCGCCCGUGACCGAUCCCUGGAGGAAGCACGGGCUAAGUUCGUG